rnacentral:rRNA from 1 species
GAUGAACGCUAGCGGCAGGCUUAAUACAUGCAAGUCGAACGGUAACGACAACUUCGGUUGGGCGACGAGUGGCGCACGGGUGAGUAACGCGUACACAAUCUACCUUGUUCAGGGGGAAAGUCACUGGAAACGGUGAAUAAUCCCGCAUACGAUCUUUUGGUGGCAUCGCUGAAAGAUGAAAGAAAAUCGGAAUAAGAUGAGUGUGCGUCUGAUUAGCUAGAUGGUAAGGUAACGGCUUACCAUGGCGACGAUCAGUAGGGGGCGUGAGAGCGUGAUCCCCCACACGGGUACUGAGACACGGACCCGACUCCUACGGGAGGCAGCAGUAAGGAAUAUUGGUCAAUGGGGGCAACCCUGAACCAGCCAUGCCGCGUGCGGGAAGACGGCCCUACGGGUUGUAAACCGCUUUUGUCUGGGAAGAAUGGCCCUGAUUUAUCAGGGAAGCGACGGUACCAGAAGAAUAAGCACCGGCUAACUCCG